AUUGAACGCUGGCGGCAGGCCUAACACAUGUAAGUCGAGCGAGCGGCGGACGGGUGAGUAAUGUCUGGGAAACUGCCUGAUGGAGGGGGAUAACUACUGGAAACGGUAGCUAAUACCGCAUACCAUCAGAUGUGCCCAGAUGGGAUUAGCUAGUAGGUGGGGUAACGGCUCACCUAGGCGACGAUCCCUAGCUGGUCUGAGAGGACGACCAGCCACACUGGGACUGAGACACGGCCCAGACUCCUACGGGAGGCAGCAGUGGGGAAUUUUGGACAAUGGGGGAAACCCUGAUCCAGCCAUCCCGCGUGUGCGAUGAAGGCCUUCGGGUUGUAAAGCACUUUUGGCAGGAAAGCGGUACCUGCAGAAUAAGCACCGGCUAACUACGUGCCAGCAGCCGCGGUAAUUC
rnacentral:rRNA from 1 species